rnacentral:rRNA from 1 species
AUGGCUCUUUGAAUAUAAAAUAUAAAGAGUCGGACCUGCCCAGUGAAUAUUUCAACGGCCGCGGUACUCUGACCGUGCGAAGGUAGCAUAAUAAUUUGUCUUAUAAUUGAAGUCUAGUAUGAAUGGUUUAACAAGAGUGUAGCUGUCUCCUUUUAAUUUUUUAGAAUUUUAUUUUUAAGUUAAAAAGCUUAAAUUAAAUUAAUAGACAAGAAGACCCUAUCGAGCUUUAAAACCUUUAUUAGGGGUAUAAUAUUUAUAUAAGUUAUUCUAGUGAUAAUUUUAGUUGGGGCGACUGAGGAACAUUUAAAGCUUCCUUGAUAAAUUAAAACUGAUAAGUUUUGAUCCAGAAUUUCUGAUUAAUAAAAUUAGUUACCGUAGGGAUAACAGCAUUAUCUUUUUUGAGAGUUCAUAUCGAAAAAAAGGAUUGUGACCUCGAUGUUGGACCAGAAUAUCCUGAAGAUGUAGCAGUCUUCGAGGGUUGGUCUGUUCGACCAUUAAAAUUCUACGUGAUCUGAGUUAAGACCGGCGUGAGCCAGGUCAGUUUCUAUCUUUUAUUAAAAGUAUAGAGUUAGUACGAAAGGACCACUUUAUAAUAUAAAAUAUUAAAAUUGAUUAUGUUUAAUUAUUAUUUAUCAAAUUAGCAAAUUUUAAUGUAACUAACUUAGGAUUAGUAGAAAUAGGUGAAAAUCCUUUAUUUGAUAUAAUAAAGAUGGCAGAUUAAGUGC